rnacentral:rRNA from 1 species
AGCGAACGCUGGCGGCAGGCCUAACACAUGCAAGUCGAACGAACCUUUCGGGGUUAGUGGCGGACGGGUGAGUAACACGUGGGAACGUGCCUUUAGGUUCGGAAUAACUCAGGGAAACUUGUGCUAAUACCGAAUGUGCCCUUCGGGGGAAAGAUUUAUCGCCUUUAGAGCUGCCCGCGUCUGAUUAGCUAGUUGGUUGAGGUAAUGGCUCAUCAAGGCGACGAUCAGUAGCUGGUAUGAGAGGAUGGUCAGCCACAUUGGGACUGAGACACGGCCCAGACUCCUACGGGAGGCAGCAGUGGGGAAUCUUGCGCAAUGGGCGAAAGCCUGACGCAGCCAUGACGCGUGAAUGAUGAAGGUCUUAGGAUUGUAAAAUUCUUUCAACGGGGACGAUAAUGACGGUACCCGGAGAAGAAGCCCCGGCUAACUUCGUG